rnacentral:rRNA from 1 species
UAGGGGUUCUGAGAGGAAGGUCCCCCACAUUGGAACUGAGACACGGUCCAAACUCCUACGGGAGGCAGCAGUGAGGAAUAUUGGUCAAUGGGCGAGAGCCUGAACCAGCCAAGUAGCGUGAAGGAUGACUGCCCUAUGGGUUGUAAACUUCUUUUAUAAAGGAAUAAAGUCGGGUAUGCAUACCCGUUUGCAUGUACUUUAUGAAUAAGGAUCGGCUAACUCCGUGCCAGCAGCCGCGGUAAUACGGAGGAUCCGAGCGUUAUCCGGAUUUAUUGGGUUUAAAGGGAGCGUAGGCGGGUUGUUAAGUCAGUUGUGAAAGUUUGCGGCUCAACCGUAAAAUUGCAGUUGAUACUGGCGACCUUGAGUGCAACAGAGGUAGGCGGAAUUCGUGGUGUAGCGGUGAAAUGCUUAGAUAUCACGAAGAACUCCGAUUGCGAAGGCAGCUCACUGGACUGCAACUGACACUGAUGCUCGAAAGUGUGGGUAUCAAACAGGAUUAGAUACCCUGGUAGUCCACACAGUAAACGAUGAAUACUCGCUGUUUGCGAUAUACAGUAAGCGGCCAAGCGAAAGCGUUAAGUAUUCCACCUGGGGAGUACGCCGGCAACGGUGAAACUCAAAGGAAUUGACGGGGGCCCGCACAAGCGGAGGAACAUGUGGUUUAAUUCGAUGAUACGCGAGGAACCUUACCCGGGCUUAAAUUGCAACUGACUGAAUCGGAAACGGUUCUUUCUUCGGACAGUUGUGAAGGUGCUGCAUGGUUGUCGUCAGCUCGUGCCGUGAGGUGUCGGCUUAAGUGCCAUAACGAGCGCAACCCUUAUCUUCAGUUACUAACAGGUCAUGCUGAGGACUCUGGAGAGACUGCCGUCGUAAGAUGUGAGGAAGGUGGGGAUGACGUCAAAUCAGCACGGCCCUUACGUCC